AGAGCAUGUCAUAUUUGAGGAAGAGGUGAAUUCGGAGAUGCUAAAAUAAGUGUGUUAAGAAUGUAAUUGUUAUUUGAUUACAAAUGCUGAGCCAUCCAUAUAUUCAAGGUUUCCCGUUACGAGGAUCUUGGUGUUGUGCUUGCACGACAGCUACUUCAAUUCCUGGCACUCAGGAUGCUGGGUUUUACCACUAAGUACUGCACUUAGUGGAAAGAAGGCCCAGGCUUGGUGAAAAGGCCUUUGUAAGGUCAAAGCAGGCAGAGACAAAAAGCGGAGUGUAGAGCAAAUCUAACAAGUCAAAUGUGAAGCUGAGGUCACAACAUGGCACUGGGCUACUGACAAAAUGAGAGCUGUCCUCAUGCCCCAAAGCACUCACUGCCAGAGGCAAGCAUCGCAGGCAUCUGUUCAGACCUGAUCCGUUACCACCAUCUACAUAGAUUAAAAGGGAGAGGUGGAGCAGAACUGUCUAUUUUUUUUGCCCUUCUCCUUCCAUUUUCUCCUGGUAACCUGCCCGUAUUUUCUGGUUGCACCAUCCACUCAUGCCAAGAAACAAAUCCUACAGCCCCAGUGAAACCGAAGGCAGCUCUGCUGUUAAUGUGUGCACAGUGAGAGAGGGGCGAAGGUUUCAGCCCCAAACCAGUGUGCGAUAGGUUCAGCAGGGCAGGAGCUGACCUCCUCCUGAGCACUGACAUACUCACAGGUAUCUCUCCUAGUGUGACAGCCUUCAGCCAGCAACCUGCAAGGUGCCAUGCUGCUCUGUGAAUGUAAGUGACAGAUGGCAGAGCUCUUGAUUGCUAAGAGGAAGCAACCAUAGCACACAACUAUUUUGGCUUAAAGGUGUCCAGGACUAAAUGACAAAACUGAUCGAUUUGUGCAACAGCUGUCAGAGAAAAACUGACAUUGCCUAGCAACAUUCAGAAGGAAAAUUACAAUCUCCAGGUUUUAUUGCCAACAGUCAUCAAGUGGGUAAUAUUAGACAACUAAUUACACGUAGGUUAGCAUUUAUGUUAGCUUUGUAAGUCUUAUAAAAAUGUACUGAGUCUUGCUAUGACUGUUUUACAGCCUUUGCUUUGGUAAUGCACAGUCAGGUGAUCUUUUUUCCCUUUUUUUUUUUUUUUUUGCUGUUUUGUUAAUGUCAGUCUUACAAAAUACAUCCCCUGUGUGUGUUCCAUGCAACGUGCAUAGCCAGCUCCGUUACCCAGAGCUGUGUAAGAUGCACAGAUGCCUCAGUGAGUGGAAAUCACACGUAUUGGUACGUAGUUCAGGGGCUCCUUUGUGCUACGUAUUGUUAUAUAGUGCCGCAGUGCCCAAGGUCCUGCUCUGAGCAGCAUGGAGGAGGCUUAAGGGCCAGUGCCCUCCCCUUGCUCCACCCUGAGCCCCAUCCAGUGCUGGCUGCAUGGCACUAACUCCUGCCCACCCUGAGCAUGCAGCUCUGCCACGUCCUGAUGCAGCUCUGGCAUAAGAACAGUUUUUGCUGUGAUAAGAGGUAGGAGAGAAGGACCAGUAGAACAAACCUUAGGGAGAGCAUUGCUCAUGGAAUGCUCAGCCAUUUUACAGGGUAUGAUAAACUUCUAUGCUUGUAUUCCUUCAGAGCAUUUCAAGUGUUUCCUCAAAAAGUUGGGGUGAUCGGUCAAAGAAGUGAUAAUGAUCCAACCUCUCACAUUCCCAGGGUGUUUCUGCUUUCUAGAACAUCUUGCAAGGCUACCUCUGACAUCCUGGGCAAUCUUUUAACUGCUUUCAAGACCACUCAGCAGGAAAGAGACUCUGAUAUUUUGUUUUCUGCAUCUCAGAAGAUCCAAAUCUCCUCUUAUGCACUGAAUAAAUGCCAUUUCUCUCUGCCAUGUUCUGCUUCGUACAGAGCAGCAAAGCCGAACUGCAGACAAACUGAUGUGAGAUGAUAAAUCCUUCAUCCAAAACGAAGAAUCUGCCCAGUGACAAAUGGAGACAGAGAUUUUCACUCGGGCUGGCAGACCAAGAUGAUGAAGGUUUGUUCUUAUCUGAUGUAUUUUUUCUUACUGAAUGGAAAGGAAAAUGAAAUUGGGCUAUUCUGUCAAACAGAAAAGAUUUCGUAUGGUAUCUAUGGCUGCUGCGUGAUGUGUAAAUUGUCCUCAUUGUAGUGUCUCUUCAUUAUGGGUGAUCCCAAGCUAUUUUACACAAUUCAGACAGAAUACCUAGGGGAUGGUUUUAUCCAUCUUGAAGGCAAUCAGCUCCAGGUAUUACUUGUUCUGUAUAUUUAGCAAGAGAGUGCCUUAGGCUAAUAAUUGAAGCAGAAUGCAUCCUGUAAGAAUCACCUGCUUUAUAUUUCAGCUCCUACAGGAAUCUAAGCUCACAUUUUUGUGUUUGUAAAAACAUGAGGUAAAAUUAAAUGAUGUUUUACUGGCCAAGGCGUUCCAUGCAUCCAAAGCUAUCUGUAGUCAGUUAAGGGGAAGAGUUUCAGAUUUGGAGUUUUGUUCCAGCUCUGAUGUUUGAGAUCUCAAAAGCAGAUAUGUGUCACCAUCAUAUUGUCACAAGUUUGUGGGCUUCUCAUCACAAUUUCACUCAAAACAAUCUUCCGAUGCUCUGGGGAAAGCAGGUCUGUAUAUCCACAGAUCCUCCAUUCAUUGCCCUUAAGCAAGAAACCAGCUCAUCUGGAACCAAGGUUUGUUCCUGAACUCCUUCACUGUACAGUGUUUUUUCCCACUGGUUUUCCAAAAGGGCAUUUUGUUCCUCCUGGGCGGAGCUGAAUGCGUGGUUUUGUCCACUUCUGUCGUUGUUUAAAACCAGGUUGAUCUUGUCCAGCAGGCACACCUGGGCCCCUGCUCCUUCAGCAUCCCACAGGCAGCUAAAAGGGCUGCUGUAGUCUCGGAAGAAAAUAUUUGUCUCUGGUUCUGGAGCUGGUGUGUAGGGCUGUAUCAGGCCCAUGUUGGCAGCUACAUAUCCUAGUGUGUUUGCAUCAGAGAUUUGGGGUUUGUAGUCACUGACGUCCUCCGUGGCCGUGUUAUGGGGAGGUGCUGAGCUCUGUGGGUGCUCCACGUUCUCAGGGACCACAUUGCUGGGUUCCUUUUUGAUGUCCACGUUCUUGUAUUUCUUGUCCCCUGACAGCUCCUUUAUUUCCGUAAUUGUGGGGUCACUGUUAUCCAGGAACGGCUCACUGAAAAUGCUGUUUGUGAAUUCACUCUUCU
rnacentral:lncRNA from 1 species